rfam:Leersia perrieri chromosome 8, whole genome shotgun sequence.
AGAGCAGGAUGCAGCCAAGGAUGACUUGCCGGCGCCGGAGACUGUGUCAGUCUGUUAAUUUGAUCCGGCAAGUUUGUCCUUGGCUACACCUUGCUCUCU